rnacentral:misc_RNA from 1 species
GCAAACUUGGUCAUUUAGAGGAAGUAAAAGUCGUAACAAGGUUUCCGUAGGUGAACCUGCGGAAGGAUCAUUACCCGUGGAGGUCUCGCGACCACCGCAGGAUAGAGUCCCUUGUCUUUGCGCAUCUAUGAUUUCCUCGCUCGCUCGGGCGAGGCUACGAAAACAAUCUAUGAACCUGUCGUCGUUUGCAGGCGAAUUCUUCAAAACUUUCAACAACGGAUCUCUUGGUUCUGGCAUCGAUGAAGAACGCAGC